rnacentral:lncRNA from 1 species
CCAACAAACACAUCGAACACAUUAAUUAUUGAUACAAUAGGAACAUAGUAGUACCUUAUCUCAAGCACAAAGUACAAAAAAAGUUGCAUUAUUGAUACAAUAGAAUGAGACUUUGUAACAUGUUUGAUGCUUCUACCGCAUCACCAUGUCCCAACAAGAACAGAGCUCUUUACAAGUCUCAGGGACCGUCUUUACUGAAAUCCUAUAGCACCAUAACAUCAACAGCAGAGAGAGAGAGAGAGAGAGAGAGAGAGAGAGAGAGAGAGAGGCUUAGCCUCCCUUUUGCCUAUAUGACUUGCCUCUGUAGCUUCAGUUCAUGUCUUCCUCCUCUAUCUCUGGGGAGCUAGAGGAUGACAAGCUCCUUAUGGAUCAGUUUCUUCCUCUUCCUCCGCAUCUUUAGAGAGGACGAAGUCAAAACAGGAACCAGUCGAGCUCAAGUUCCCAUUCCUUCUCUCUCUCUUCUUUGUCAUGAAUUCUACAUCCUCCACACACUCCUUAUACUUCUUCGCAUCAUAAAACGAUGGAUAUCAACUACUUUACAGCACCAAGACGCUCUCGCCGUGGAUUCGCGGAUCUCGUCACCCACUUGAUCUUGGAUAAUGGAUGACGAUGCGACGCUGAAAACAUGGUCAAGUUUUGUUUACUAAGCACGGGGAGCUGCGAUGGAGACCAUCGAAGCAGCACACAUGGCUCCCAUAACCAAAAGCUAAAGAUCAUUCGAGUCACAAAGUGCAGGUUUUGGAGGACAACGCGAGGUGGGAUGCUUUUAGAAAGCAAGGCGAGUGACGAUUAAUUAGAUAUCAGAAACAAGGUGGUGUGGGUGUAUGAUUGGAUAAGGUAGGAAAUUGCUUAUGAGCUUAAACCAAUAAAGACAUGCAACUAUAUAUGUGUUAUUAGCCACCAUGUACGAAGCUUGGUGAAGCAUCUUAUCCGAACUUGAUACAGCAGAAGCUAACAACUUACAGACUUCUAAUCGUUCAGCAUUGUAUAGACAUGUCUGAUUAGUUUCUCAAGCAGCAAUUUCUGUUCUGUACAUGAUUUAUAAGCAGGACGUUUAAUCUUCCAUAUUAUGUGAUUAGUUUCCCUAAUCUACAACCAAGUGGUCGUGCCGGAGUGGUUAUCGGGCAUGACUAGAAAUCAUGUGGGCUCUGCCCGCGCAGGUUCGAAUCCUGCCGACCACGUUUUUUUCUCUUCCUUUGUUAUAAGAAUUCCAAAAUACUUUUAUUAUUUUUACUGAAUAGUGCAAUUACUAAUUCUAGUUUUGACGCCACAUCAGCUCCAUGCAAUCAGCGGUCGAGGGUUUCCUAUGAUCCACAUGUCGACACCGUACGUCACGAGUGAGGUAGCAGCUGAUAAGCUUAACGUCGCCCUCUUCGUAUGCUGACCAAGCGCUGACUCCUCAGGGCCACCAUCCGCUCGACACGUGUCUCCACAGAGUUCCCAAUUACCGAUCGUUUCGCACGCCAUCGCUGUCGACGUACAACACCGUCUGCGAACGACAAUUUCCGCGUAAUAUUCUUUUAUAAAAUAAAUUAAUUUUAAUUUACCUGAAUUUAAAUAAAUUGCCCUCUUAAAAAAAUAAGAUUAUUUUUAAAAAUAAAAAAUAGCACUUCUUUAUAACAAAAAAAAUUAUUUUUUUACUCGAUUUUAUUUGCUACUUCUUAAAAUGUAUUAAUUGGAGAAAGGAACAAAAUUAAUGGAGUCUUAAUGAGAUUAAUAACGUGGCGUAACCUCCGGAUUAGGCUUGGGAUUUUAACUUAACCGCGGGGACUCGCUUCGCUUCACCACCAUCCUCCCCGCUCCGCGUUAAAAGGCCGUGCGGGAAGAAGAGAAAGGGAGGAGGGUGGACGCGAGUUGUAAAGAUCUCUCUCGCGCCUUGGUUCUCUUGCUUCCCUUCUUCCGCAGCAGCAUAUAAUGGUGGGAUCUUGGCCUGCUGCCUUUUAUCCGUGGCUUCGAUCAUGAGGGGGAUCUCGUAGGCCGUGAUGACGAGCUAGAUCUGGCGGCUCGGAGGUGGUCUAGAGCUGUCGCGUCGGAUCCGCCCGGUUCCAGAUGGUAUGGAUACAGAGUCUGGUGAAUGAGCUUUUACCUUGGAUUUGUGUGUUUUUAGCUGCAAAAAUAUUUCUGUCUUCCCUGUUGUGAGGUAUGGGUUGGACCAUGAUGUUGUUUCUGAUAUGGGCUGUAAUUGGGAACCUGUGGGGUCGAAUUGAGAUCUAGACAUGGGGAUUGGCGAGUUUGAUCGCCGAAAGUUUCGACCUUCGGCUUGCUAAUCUGACAUUGCUGGUUCCUCUGCCUUCUUAUGGUUCUACGGAAACCUAAUUGUUCCUUUUGUCUCACACUACGGAAGAGAGAAUACCGUUUGGGUUUUAAUAUUUUGACCGAACUAUUUCAUGCUGUAGCACAAAUUUGGAUUCGCAAAAUAUCGUCGCGUCGAAUGCUUUCUGCUCAUUUUUGGAGCUACUUCCAGUUCUUGUAAAAAGUAAGGGUUUUGCCGUCCCUCCACUUCCUAAACAAAAGUGAAGAGUGUCCUGAACUGAACUGCAAAACCGGUCGGAAAGAAUCAGUUCUGGACUCAGCUAAGGGGAUUUCAAGUAAAUGUAUAUGUGAAAUCAAGACUUUGGUUCUAGUUAUUCUAAUGUAUGUUGCAUAUGCUGCUACUGUCGCAGUGAUGCCUGAAAAUUAUCAUACUUAUGCAUCUGUUUCAUGAACCCAUGAUAGAUGUACAUGCCAAUCUUCCGAGAUGAUGGCAGUUUUGCUUGCUGUGAUUACAUGCCUUUUAAAGAUUAUGUUUAGCUUCAGAAGUUUCAUUAUUACGGAGCUUUGUCGCACUGGUGUGCUACUGUUUAGUCAUUUUAACCUAUAAAAUAGUCACUGCUUGUGUGAUGAAGGCUUGUAGUUGCCUACUGUCAUUCUGACAGUUUCUUGCUUCAAAAUUAUAAUGUUAGAAUCUUUAAGAUAGAUGAUACAUUGCUGCAGUAACCUUUACUUUUCUUACUUGUGCCAGUACAUUCGGCCUUAGUUUUUGGUUUUGUCAAAAUUAUGUUUAUCUAAUAGGUCUGCUUUUAACUUCAUUUUCAUAAAGUAUCCGGUGGUCCUUAAAUAUUUGCUAUAUUUUCUUAAAUUUAACAUCAUAGGAUAUAAUUGUUUAUUCUUUUACAUUUUAGUUCAUUGGUGCUAUUGACCUUCUUACAUUUCUUUUGGAUUUUUCAGAAAGCUAAGUUAACCAGACAAUUUUUUCAGCCUUCACCAUUCAGAAUGCUUUACUUCAUCACCUGUUGUCCCCCUGAUUAUGAGUCAAAAUUUGUAUACUUUUCACAGAACUACAAAUGCUUGUGAUUGGUGGUUCUAUUCUAACAUUGUUCUAUGUAACUAUGCCUAGACUAGUCUUCUAGAACUACUUUCUAGAUCCCUCUCAUUUUGCUUGCUUCUUAAUUUGUUUUCUUUUGAUGAUCCAGGAGACUGUCGAAAUGGAAAAGUGCCCAAUGAGACUUAAUACAACAAACCAAUUAUGUCAAGAUCCUAUGUCUGAAAAGAAGUCGAGGUUUUGGCAAAUCAAUGACCAACCAUUUCCUAGAUCUGAAGUUAUCUGUCCUCAACCUCGUUGGGUAACUAGGGUUCCUUAUUUCAUGGAAUAUUGCAAUAGAGUCGGUCCCAAUCCAAAAGGGUAUGUUUUUUUCUAAUUAUUUAGAAACAUUAAUUCCUUUCAUUUUCUUACCUGUAACAAGUUAACCGAGUUCCUCACUGAUAGCCCCAUAGGACAAGUUAAUUUGGUAAUGACAUCCAACAAGCAAAUUCUUUUUGGAUGACAAUAUGCUUUCAGUUCUGUGCCAAUCAAUUAUAUGCUUUGCGUCUGGAGUUUAACAGCAUUUUGGUAGCAUAAGAUGGAUAGUUUGGUACCCAUUUUCUCAUGCAAUAAUGAACCUUUUUAACCACUGUUAUUAUCUCUGCAGCGGAAAUGUUUAAAAUCAUCAAUUAUUUUUCUUUAUGGCAUCACUUUAUCACUUACUCCGAAUUAUUAUUGUUUUCCAGCAUUCUGCAAAUUCAUAGAGUGGAUUAUGCUUCUGAAACUCUUGAUCUUCUCCAAAGAAGGGUAAUGGUUUACAUUUGCAAUGUGAAUACGUAUUUUGGGAGAAAGUUUGUUUUUCAUUUAUCCUCUUUUAUGGUCCUAGUGACAAGUUUGUUGCUUAUUAGGAAUGCUCUGAGGGUGAUGGAGACUUGGGCAGCCAGGUGGGCCUUUUGUGUGGAUCACCUCCUGCACGCACUAACAAUCCCGUAGUCCGAGAUGCAGAGUUUGGCAAACAUAGCCAGUUCUUACCUUCCCCAAUUGGAGUCUCCCUCAGCAAGAAGCAGGCAGGGAGAGUCGAAAAAGGGUCUCCAAGCUGUGGUUCUUCCCCGGAAGUAAGAAUUGAAGGCUUUGCUUGUGGCAACUCAGAAUCCCACUGUGCUGUCCCUGCUCUUGCUUGACCUCUUCACAACUCAACCCGAUCUCGCCGUCUGUGAUAAUGUAUUGACCCUGCUUAAUCAUCAGUCUCUAGGAGAGUUUUGGUCCUGUACAUACCUGAGGUUUCUGUGUAUAUUUCCGACCUUAAAAGUAGUAUCUUGGAUGCUGGUGUCAGAUCCAAAGUUGUAAGUAAACCUUCUGAUAUUAUCCGAGUGUGAAUCUUACGAAGUCAACCGAUAAUUCUUCUCCUGAACAAACAUUUGUGAUUCAUAAUGAAUGAUUAGUUGUUGUGUCCUGAACUGGUAAACUUAUGAUCUGAUGAUAGGGACUGCGGAACAAUUAAGGUCUUAAAGCUGCUUUUGCAGCUUUGCCAUCCUUCAACUUGUGGCCACAUAUGGUAGCAGAUAUGAAGAGGGCUGUCAUGGUCACCAUUGAUACUGUCAUUUCCAUUGUCAUGAUUACAAUGCACUCACUAUUCUUUGUACCAUUGCAAAACAAGGUCACAAAAAAAGGAACAGGAUAGAUAAGAUUGGAUUGUAUCAGUCACUAGGAUGAACAAAUUACUCUUCAUCGAAUGGAAUCCAUCUAAAUUUGCUGUAACGAACGUAACGGUGAUUGAGGAUGGUGGGGCCAGAUGUGAUUUCCCCCGUCUUAAAGAGCCACGUGAGAUGGUGGUGAACGCCGAUCGUACGGUAUGGGUGACCGUAACGCGUAUGAAGGUGUUAAAGUAAGCGACUCCGCCCGACAAUCGUCCCCAAACCUUGGUUCCUCCCCGCAUGCAGAGAUGCUUUGCGGGGUCCACCGCUUCUGUGGCCUUACGUGUCACUGGGUGUCUGGGCGAGAAAGUUGUGGGUGCCGAAGAAAAAGGAACGUGAAACUUUGUACCACCAACGUGGACCGGUGGGAACGAACGAAGACCAUUCAGAGAUUAAGACGAUGAGAUACGCCUUAAAGACACUCUCAGGAGUCUCCCCCGAGAAACCACCCGAGAGAAGACACCGAUGCUGAUGAGGUCAUCAGCCACGGCUGCGAGAGCGUUCAGACGUGGCUUUCGUCUUUUUGGGAUCCGAACGCCUUAUUUGUCAUUCUUCGAAAUAAAUAAAAGUUGUAAUGAUACGAAAGCGAAAAAAGUACUAAUCGAACAAUGGCUUAACAGUUGUCAUAUCCGAGACAGAGUUCAGCAUUUUUAUCCACCAGAAAAAUAGAAUCAGCGUGCGAUCUCUUUCCAUCUGUGGGUCCCUUCAGUUGCAUGAUGGGGAAAUAUUGGAUCUUGUCGUUGUGCCACAACAGAAGAUCCUCACCAGGCGGGAAAGGACUCGGGGAACUCACGAAUUGGCCAAUAUAAAAAGUAGCCUCGGCGAAUGGCUUCUUAUUCUUUGUUAUUUUUGUGACGUUCGACUACCGGGGGAAAGCGAUCGGUGAUCUGCGCCCCUAAUUUUGCAGAUCUUCUCGCCUUUUCCUCGUCCUCCUCCGUCGCAAGAAAAGUUUCAAGGGUUCAUCUUCUUCUCCUGUUCGUCUCGAAUCGAUCGGUUCGUUCUUCUUGGGCCUCGGCUACGGCCGGAGGGGGAUUCCGCGACCAUUCCCGCGAGGUAAAGCCCCCGGAAAAUGACUCAUCCUUGGUCAAUGCUUCAAGAUCCGGUGCGAUCUAUACAUUCUUGUUUCAAUCGCUGACUCUAGAUUAUGGAUCUGGCUACUAAGCAUUUCCGCUUCGGUGCGGAUGAGGUAGAUAGGAUCCUAAUUUAUCGUCAAUUCAUGCGUUUGUUUGUCUGUCAGAUCUGGUGCUCGUGAUCGUAUCUUGAGCUGGAAGAUUACGUGACAGCAAAUAAGGUUCUCGAACGAUUUUCCUUUUCUUUCUCUUUUUCUUUUAUUUUGUUAAAGAAUCUCUUUGGGAAUAUAAUGUGUUUUUGUUUCUUCUUAGCCCAUGAAUUUUCUCAACACUAUCUGUAUCUUAUCAUUAUAAUUUGGAGCUUAUUUAUGCUGGGCGAUGGGUUUUCUACUCCCCGUCCUAUCGGAUGAUCGCUAAUCGCAGCUCCGUCAUCCAAUCUCGUGAAUUUAGGCUUGAUAGUUGGACAAGACAAAUGUCGUGGACUUUGUGCCUUCUUUCAAGGGAAUUAUGGUAUAGAAGACAAAGAGGAGGCUGGAAAAAGAAACUGUUGGUGUGUACCUACCAUGAGGAUUAACAUCUAAAAUAUGUUGCUUAUUCAGGGUUUAGAGAAUUUCUUUUAACAAAAGCUUGCAAUUGUUUGCUGAAGGGGAAAUUCAAUAGUAUAUGGGCUGCCUACAUUGUUCCUCCUCGUAACCCUACCUGUAGCAUCAUGCACCUAUUGCCUUUUUUUAUUGGAGAUAUUGCUAGCAAGGCAUAUCAGAAUUAUUAUCAAAGUCACUGGCUUACAAGGCGUGAUUCAUAAUGUACAGCAGUCAUACAUUAAAAGGCUAGUUAUGGAAGAACAAUGUACGGCAGGUGUGGUUUUUUUUUUUUCUAUGGAAUGGAAUUGGUAAAUUUUUGAAGUAUGGUCAUUUGUCUUAGAUAUAGGCAGACCUACUGUACCAUCGGGAAGUGGGAACCACAUAGACUUCUUGGAACACUUAGAAAACUUCAUUUUUUAUUGACCAGCGAAGUUCUCGGAGCUUUUCUUGACCACAUACCGUAUGAAGGCAUUACUUGGAAGUAUUUUUGCUGGAUUUUCAAUAAGACGGAGCAAACACUGCUUUAUCUGAAUCAUAGUUAUUAUCUGAGCCAUGCCCUUAAUUUCUAUCUUUGCAAUAUCAAUUUUCACAGUUCUGAGAUUCUAUGGAGAUAGUUGUUUUAACAAACUGGAGAGCAAUUGCUACGUGGCAAGCUGAGCAUUAAAAAAUUGCUAUAUUUAUCUAAACAGGAGAAUGAUUGCUAAAGAGUUAUGUGGCUCUAAUGCUAAUCACUCCCUGGGGAUUUUAAUAAAUAGAAAAGGAGUCUUGGAUAGCAGGGUUAAGGCAUUUAAAUAUUAUAGGAAACAUUUCAACUUUGCCUUUGGGAACAAGCUGUUGAACCUAGCCAUAUGUUUCUAAGUUGAACUUAUUCUAUAUCUUUUGUAUGUCAUUUGUUGUUACUGAAGUAUGGAAGAUAUGGCGGCUUUUUCUAAGAUAAAUAAGAUUCCAGUAAAUCAUAAACUAAUUUACUUUGUAGUCUUUUUGUUCUUUUUCUUAGUUACUUCUUUCAACCUGAAUUGUUGAUAUCAUAAUCUGAAAUGUUCAAGUCGAUAUUGUCCAUCAAUUUGUUAUGGAUUAUGUAUUUGGCAAAUUUUCUUAAAAUAAAUAUUAAAUGUUAUGCAGGUUGUGGAGUGGCAUAGCAUGUUUAAGCAAGAACCUUGAUAUUGCCAUCACAUGUUAUCUUUUCACAUUAUUUGUUCUUUCCAAUCAUUGGAUGUCUUUGUUAUUAUUCUCUGGCUAAUCUAAUAAUCUGAUGUUAUCCUUGACCCUUCUAGUGAUCAACUUAUACGCACUGCAUUCGUGGAUAACUUUGAUAUUUUCAGGAGUGCAGAACUUGAUUCAAUCAUUUCUACUGUAUAAAGAGUUUGCAUAUGCACUAUGGGCUUUGCCUACAGUUCGAGAAGACCUGAACGCCAAUGACUAAAACAAUGAUGUGCAAGAGUCGAUCUUCAAAAAAGUCUUGAACUGAUUUAUCUCGCUAUAGAAGAGCUCCUCAUCAUCAUUGAUCCAUGGGGGAGUGGAUUAUUGGAGCAUUUAUUAAUAUAAUUGGGAGUAUUACUAUAAACUUUGGGACUAACCUUCUAAAAUUGGGUCAUGAUCAGGUAUUUUUGUGUUACAUGUUCAUGCUUUCCUGUAACUUUACCAUUUCCUGUUAUUGUUUGCUCCAGUGUGAAAAUCCGCAGUCUUUUUCUCCUGUCAUAGCUUGUUGCGAAUAAAUACUGUACUACAUAGACUGUUACUUAAUGUACUAACAUGCCAAUUUUCUUCCUGUGGUGUGUGUCUCUGUGUUUGCAGCGAGAGAAGCAUUAUAUGCCUAGCUGUGAUGGAACCAAUAGCAAAGUUAAUGUGAAAUCAAUUAUACAUUUCCAGACCUGGAGAAUUGGUGAUACUUUACAUUGUGAUAUCUUCUAUUUUGAAAAAAUUAUAUUUUAGCUGAUCUAAUGGUGUACCUUCUAAUGCAGGCAUUCUUUUGUUUGUUUUCGGGAACUGCCUCAACUUUGUUUCCUUUGCAUAUGCUGCACAGGUCAAGUUAAAUAUUUUGGUUUUGUUCAUGAGUUACUGAUGGAAUAUAUCAUCUAGUAUAAAAUGUUAAUCUUGAUAUAAUGUGCCUUUCAUGGGCUUUCACUACUCAAAUCUGGAUUCGGCAAGAGCAUUAUUCACAAACAUGUAUGUUACUGUUGUAAAUGUGAUGUACACUGUUUUUUUGUUGGCAUUUUGUCCACGAUGAUAGUGAUGGGAAGUAGAAAUUUGUGUCACCCAGGAUUUGAAUGUAUUCUUGGAUUAAUCCAUUUAUCUCUUCAAGAAUUCUUUGAUUCUUAAUGUAUUGGCUAUGUUCACAAUGAUUCAGGGCAUUAAGUGCUCUUGAUUGGCUAGUCAAUGACUACCUACCUAUUAGAUCAAAGUUUAAGUUCUUAAGGCUUUACGUAUCACCAUCGUGUUAAGAAAUUUGUGGGUAAUUCACGGUCCAAAAUUUAGGGAUGGUUCACAGGGUGGGAAAUGCUUUUAAAAUUUGGUUUUUAUUUUUGAGGAUUGUAUAAUCAUGACCAGUUCGAUUAGUUUUUUCCCUGACUAGGCUAUUUUGUGUUUUGCGAUUGCAGUCACUUCUUGCAGCAUUGGGAUCAAUUCAGUUCAUAUCUAAUAUUGCAUUUGCUUACUUUGUGCUCAGUAAGACAGUGUCAGUCAAGUAAGUCAUUUCAGAAUUGACAUUGUUUUAAAAAGGACAUAUGCUUAAUGCAGAAAUAUGAUUUCAUAUGACAACUUGUUUUGCAGGGUCAUGGUAGCAACAACUUUUAUUGUUUUUGGCAACAUUUUCUUAGUGUCUUUUGGAAACCACCAGUCACCUGGUAUUAACAUCAACCUAAUUGAGGGAAGGAAUAGUUAAUAAUCAACUAAAUGAUAUUUCUUUUUUCAUUGCAGUAUAUACACCAGAGGAGUUGAUUGCAAAAUACAGCAGCAUGGUUUUUCUUCUCUAUUGCUUGACUUUGUUAUUGAUAGUUGGUGUUAACCAGUACUUUUACAGGUGAGCAGACUAAUAGUUUCUAAAAUUGUUAGCACGUCGAGCCAGCUUAUUUUUGGGUGUUAGAAGCCAGCCUCCUUGUUUGUCUUAUCCUUGUCAUCCAAUCCCUCUGCAACAAAUUAUAGUUAUCCUAAUUACUAUAACAAUCAGGACAGGAGAAGCAUAUCUUUCAGUUUCUGAUCCAGUGAGUUCCUAUUGGCGGACUUUGCUUCCAUUUUCUUAUGCCACUGUUUCUGGUGCUGUGGGUUCUUGCUCAGUGUUAUUUGCAAAAUCCUUGUAAGUUGGCAUCUUAAGAAUUUCAUUCCUUGUUUCUGCAAGAUAAGCUGCAAUAUUUUUUAAUUGAUCUCUAUGCAUACUUUUGAUUUCUUCUAUUUAUAUAUUUGAUGUGUACACUUUCCAGAUCUAAUAUGCUAAGACUGACCAUGAGCAGCAACUAUCAGUUCCAUAGCUGGUUUACAUAUUGUAUGCUGUUGUUGUUCUUUAGCACGGCAGGAUUUUGGGUAAUGAUGUCAACAAAGCCCCAAGUAAACUGUACCUUGAGACUUCCUUACUCUGAGAUGUCUGAUAUAGCUUUUCUUAAAUUCCAGAUGGCAAGACUGAAUGAAGGGUUGUCUCUUUUCGAUGCAAUCCUCAUUGUUCCCAUGUUUCAGAUUGCAUGGACCUUCUUCUCUAUCUUUACAGGAUUUGUGUAUUUUCAAGAAUAUCAAGUGAGCCUUAUCCAUAGAAAUCUAUGUGUAUAUAUAUAUAUAUAUAUAUAUAUAUUCAUUAAAUGAAGCUAACUUAAGUGCUUUAACAGGUAUUUAACACAUUAAGAAUAACUAUGUUUGUAGUGGGGAUGACAUUUGUAUUUAUUGGCAUUUCUUUAUUAGCACCUGAUGAUUCUAAAGGUACCUACAGAUCGUUAAUGGUUCUUCUUUUUAUGCAUCAUUAAUGUUAACUAAAGUAAUUUUGCCAACAACUUUUAGGAAGUGAAACAAAGGAUUCUUCUUUGCCUUCUUCAGCUCAAGACCUUCCAACUGAUAUGAACAGGUACUUGCCAUCCCCUCUCUAUCUUGUUGCUUGUCAUAAAAUUGAUGUUCCAUUAACUGUACGAUAUUAAAUAUUAAUUUGUACAUUACUUCAAAUUACAUGUUGGCUUUCUCUGGAUUCACACGUUUCAUAUAUUGAGAUGAUUUCCAUUUGAAGUUAUUAAGCAAUUAUGGUGAUGUAUAUAAUCUACUCUAGCUGAUAUAUAGUGUUGAUAGCUGGAACUGCAGGGGCGCCAUGCUACUACCAUUAGAAGAUCCUGAAAUAAGUGAUGUGAGGUCACUUGCACAAGCAGUGCUUACUAAAGUGAAGUUUAUUCUGUUGAAGGCAAAGGUACUUUGGCUUUGUAAAUUUUCUUUUGAGAAAACAAUGAGACGGUAUUAUUACUAUAUAAGAUAUUUUGUUAGCAUUUUCUAAUGUUCCUCUUGCAGGCUGCUGGUUCUCUCUCACUCGGUCUUGGUGAGGAGUCAAUUAGCGCAUCUUCGGUACUUGUAAUGCCUAUGGUGUCUUCAAGAACAACAGGUUUCAGAGGAACUAAUUAUGAUCGAGCAAAGUUCAUUCCUCUUAGAAACACAGAAUGGGGUAAACUUUCAAUAGAUGAUAACGAUCCAGAAACGAGGGACACGAGGACUUUGCUGCCUUAAUUUUGCCGGUGUGGGGGGACCGGUGGAAGCGAAUCUUGUUGUUCCUUGAAAUGUUUCUUUCAUUAUCUCCUUGUAACAUGAAUGUAUAGAUAUAUUAAUCUUCCCCCUUUUAACUGUCUAGUGUGUAACGAGAAUGAUCUGUGGUCGGAUACUGUUUCAAAAUGUGUUGUGCCCAAUUUGGCAUUCAGAUUCAUAUGCUGAUUUAACAGAACUGUGGCUUUUCUUCUCUGAACUGCCUAAAAAGUCAAAUCGAUAGAUUGGUCAGAUGAGGUUGAGCACCAUCCAAAUUUAUUCUUUAAGCGCCAUACCACUACUGCUAGAAUUACUCGUGUGCUUCUUUUAUUCUGUAUUGUUUGUACUAAAAUACUUCAUGGCUGCUAUGUACGUAACUGUGCAGGCGCGAUAUGUGAUUUUGCUUAAUCUCUAUCUCCAAGUGCUUGAUCGUUAGAAAUGGCUUGUCAACAAGUAGGCAAAAUUACUGUAUAUCAUAAGAUUAAUAUUCCAUGCGAAAUAUGAAGAAUCCAGUAAGAUAAUUUAAACUAAUAUUUACUAUCAUACAUAAUGCGGAGAUUUAAGAAAAUUAUGGACGAUAUAGGCAGAUAUUUAUCAUCAUAUAAAAGGCACGGAGAAAAAGCAAUAGCAAUAAAGGCUACCUCAGAGACAUUACAAUCAUCAGUGCACUCAAAGAGCGCAAAGAAACGUUGCAAAGGAAAAAGAUGGAUCAGAUAUUUCGGUCUGUGGAUGACCACCAAAGCAACCAAAUAAUUCAAAAGAACCUACUAUUACAACUGUCCUUUGCGGCAAACGACGACGACUCCUCCACGCCUUGGUUUCUUUCACAUGCCAUGGUUGCUUUCUUCCACUUUUUUUCCUGCUUUUUUGAGCUUUCACUUUCCUGGUUGCUCACUUCACUACUUAGCUAUUAAGUUUUCUUUCUUUAGUCUCAGUCAAGUGCAUAGACGUUGCCUCGAUCCUCUAUAAAAACCCAUGUCAUCCCUCGAGACAAAGCCCAUGCAAAAACAGUCACUUGCGACACUCUCUAAUGUUUCCUUCCCUUGGUUCUUAUUCCAAACGCUACUACUCUCUUCUUCCUCCCCA